rnacentral:lncRNA from 1 species
AAAUCAGAAAGAAGAGGCCAGAAUAGAGUUUAAAUUGUUGACACCAACGAUGAACAUUGAGUGGAAGUCCUUGGGAAAAGUGAAAAAUAAGGCUGUUGUAUGAGAGACUCAUUGGCCUAUUUUCUGAAGUGUUGAAGCCUCAUCCUUCUCAGGAAGAGCAUCCAGAUCCUCAGUUUUCCUGCUACAAAUGGAGAAGAAUACAUGAAUCCUGGCCCUUGUCCUGGGAAAGAGAGUCUCUAAAGAUGGUCCACUCUGCUCCAUUCUGCUCUGUAUGUAUAUGCAGCUCCUCUCAUAUUGGAAACUACACUGCAUCUGUAACUACUUUGACUGAGAAGAUGUGGAAAAGUGACCUUCUGGGACUUCUGAGCAAGUUCUCCUGGCUGUUGUGAACGCCGUGGUGCACAGAGAAUGAUGGAUGGAAGUGAUGGAGUCACUAAUAAGCCCUUGGACCCCCAUGGCCUGCUGCACACACAGAGAAUAGAGGUUUGAUUCUCUUUUUUGGUUUCUGGCCACCACCAUCCUGGCAGGAAGUGAAAAGGGGCUAGUUUUAUAAUGUAAUUUGUUCCACAAAUAAAGAAAGUACAAGAGACUUCAGAUCUAUGAAUUCAGAAUUUCUCAAAUGAAAAUGAAAUGCUACUAACUGAUGAUGUCCUUAAGGUGAAGCAGAUCUAGCUGAUUUGCAUAGAACAACAACAAAAAGAUUGCAGAUCCUACUUUCUUAUAUGGGCUCCAUCAUCACAGCAUCAUCCAGGAAGAGUGUAAGAUCCAGGGCCUGAUGAUACAGUUUCUGAUACACAACCUGCCCAGUGAUUUUGUCUGCAUAUUUCCCUUCCUCUGUGAAUGGGGUUGGCAACUACACCCACCAAGAAGUGACAGCAGUCGAUAGCUAGAAUAUUAAAGUCUGAUGUGUGUGACUAGGGUUCAAUGAAAAUACAUCAGGAAAGAUGAAACCCUUCCAAUUCAGUUGCACAUAUUGCUCUGCAAUUUUCAAAACCAAAAUACCCUGAGUCUCUAUUGAAACACAUUGCAGUGUCCCAUCACCCGUGGCUUUCAGAAUGUGAUCUGACAUUGUUUUCUCCAUUUCCCAUUUUCUCAGUUAAAUGGGAAGCAUAUUUGUAAAUGAUAUUUAUUUUGCUGUGAGUAAGGUUUGGAUUCCUUUCUCCUUCAUAGAUGUGUGCUUUACCUCUGCCCUCUCUUAAUGUAUUUCUAUGAAGUACAUAAAAAUGGGGCUCCAAAUCCAGACAAGCAUCUUCCUAGUUAUCAUGAUGAAGACAGGGAUGGGAAAUGUAUGUUGCUAAAAUGACUUUUAACCAUUUUUUACAUAAUUAUCUCUAUUUAUCCAUAUAGAAUUUUCUACCUCCCCUCUCAUUCUAAUUCUGUUGGAUGAUAAGGAUCUUGUUGCGUGUAGGAGAAGGAUACUUGAUGAAGGAAGCAGAUAGUUCUACCUUUUCCUACAUCUUUUCCAUAGUUCUAGCACUUUCUCUUUACAUUUCUCCCCUCUAUAGUCCUGAAAAUGAGAUCUUUGGGCAGCAUGAGGUGGAAGACUCCUUAUGUGGUGGUAGGUGGAGCCUAGUCAACAUUGAAUGAUGCAUAAAGCAUUGACUUUGAAUAAUGUGUGCAACUUGACAUCUGUGUGCUUUGGGGUCAAUAACCUACAUUUUCUGAGCCUCAAUUACCAUCCUUAAAAUAAGAAUAUUAUAGAAUAUGAUAAUUCAAAGCAAUUAAAGGAAAUAAUCCAUGCAGAGCACCCAUUUCUAAGAAAAGUAAGAAACAGAUGUGGGGGGUCACUUAACUCAUCUGUCAUCUACAUUCCUUCAUAAUAAAAUUAAGAUAUUCAAAUAAUUAAUGCUGUACACUUUACUGGGCCUGGGCCUAAACAUUUGCUUCAUGGAGUAUUCAUUUCAAUCCUAGGAAGUUAUAUCAUGAAUGUUUCUGACAGAUUAGGAAACUGAAGCUUACCAAAAUAAAUUAGGUGCCCUAAAUUAGGCUGAAACUAUUUGAUUUCAGAGGGCUGCUCUCACUUGCAAGUUUUAUAGACAUAGCUAUCCUACCUAAUAGACAAUAAGACGUGUACUUUGGUGAAGCCUCUUAAGGAUGAGGGAGACAGAAUCAUGCCAUAUAAACAAUGACAUACUUUAAAAAUAUUGGCAAAUUUAUCUCAAAAUUAUGUAAAACCAUCUUAUGCAAAAGUGAGAGUUUACCUUCCAUGAAAAUAAGAAUAUUUGGAAGACCAUCUUAAUUGAUAACUGUUAUGAAUUGAAACUUUUUUCAAGAAUGCAUUUUGUUUUUUGCAUCUGUUUUUUUUCAUAAAUUAUAUAAUAGCAUAUACCAAAGUUCUUUGAAAAGUAUAAAGGCUGCAGAGUUUCCAUUGUUGCUAAAUGAUAAUGAGCCCAAUGAAAAUCCAUGAGGAUGCAGGUUCAAUCCCUGGCCUUGCUCAGUGGGUUAACGAUCUGGUGCUGCUGUAGUGUAGGUUGCAGAUGCAGCUCAAAUCCAGUGUUACUGUGGCUGUGGCAUAGGCCAGCAGCUGUAGCUAUGAUUUGACCCCUAACCUGGGAACUUCCAUAUGUCACUGGUGUGGCCUUAAAAAAAAAAGUAGAAUGCUUAAUGUAUGUAUCAUUUAAAUCAAUGGCCUACUUGCCCGUAGGUAAUUUUGAACCACCUCAGCUCUUCUGUAUUGCCAUUGCUGAAGAAAAAAAAUAUUGUAUCAUUCUUUUCAUAGAUUAUCACAGAAUAUUGUGUAGAGAAUCUGAAAGAGAAUGGAUGUGUGUACAUGUAUAACUGAAUCAAUUUAUUGUACAGCAGAAGAUAUCACCACAUGUACGUCAACUGUACUUCAAUAAAACUUUUAAAAA